rnacentral:misc_RNA from 1 species
UGGCGCAGAACGGGGAGCACACGGAGAAGAAGAAGCUCAAGUGGUCGCUCUCCAAACAGGACCCGAUGCAGACGGUGGUGGAGGACCAGCUAUUGGCCAGCAAAAGGUCCAAACUGACGAGGCGGCGCUCCUCUGGCAACUUGGGCGACAUUGAGAAGAAACUUGAACAGAUCCGACAGAACGGGCAAAAUCGCCACACCCUUUCACAUGUGGAAGACAAGCUCUGUGAGAUGUUCCGGGCUAGCGACAAGUCGGGAAGAGUCAACGUCACCAAAUUCCUGGAGGCACUGGCACUGGCCGGCCUGCGGCAGACGGACCCGCGUCUGGUCGAAAUGAGACGUGCCAUCGCCAGCAUCCAGGCCAACUGCGCCAGCGACGUACGCUUCUGGGCCUCCGACGGACUCUGCUUCGAUGAGGACGUGUUUAAGGGUGUCAUCAUGGACAAUAUUGACAUCAUCCACAAGGCAUUGACGGGUGAUCUCGUGAUUCCGCACUUCGAGAGUCUCUGCGAGCACCUCGAGGAGCUGUACGAACUCUGCGAGAAGGACGAUAGCGGAAAGGUGGCCUCCUACAUCCCGCAGCUGGAGCGCUUCGACCCGUCGCUCUGGGGCAUCUCGGUGUGCACCGUCGACGGGCAGCGGUACUCCAUCGGUGACGUCAGCGUGCCCUUCACCAUCCAGUCGACCAGCAAGCCCAUCAGCUACGCCAUCGCCUGCGCCGAGAAGGGACCCGAAUACGUGCACAGUUUCGUCGGUCAGGAGCCGAGCGGUCGCAGCUUCAACGAGCUGGUGCUGGACAACAGUCUGAAGCCGCACAACCCCAUGAUCAAUGCUGGCGCUAUCAUGACGUCAUCGCUGAUUAAGCCGACAAUGGCGAUCGCGGACCGGUUCGACUUCGUCUUCCAGACGUACCGCCGACUGACCGGCGGCGAGUACCUGGGCUUCAACAACGCCGUGUACCUGUCGGAGCGGCAGGCCGCCGACAGAAACUUCGCACUGGCCUACUUCAUGCGCGAGAACAAGUGCUUCCCACACGUCCAGGAUCUCGGCGAGACGCUGGACUUCUACUUCCAGAUGUGCUCGCUGGAGGCCACGUGUGAGUCGGCAUCGGUGAUCGCCGGCACCCUAGCCAACGGCGGCAUCUGCCCCAUCACCGGCGAGGCCGUGCUGGAGCCUUCAGCCGUCCGCAACACCCUCUGUCUCAUGCACAGCUGCGGCAUGUACGACUACAGCGGACAGUUCGCCUUCAAGUGUGGCCUGCCGGCCAAGUCAGGCGUGUCGGGCGUGAUCCUGCUGGUGAUCCCGAACGUGAUGGGUCUCGCCCUCUACUCGCCCGCCCUGGACCGCUGCGGAAACUCGGUGCGCGGCGUCAAGCUCUGCAAGGAACUCGUGUACCGCUUCAACUUCCACCACUUCGACAACGUCUCGGCGAGCGGCGAGAAGAUCGAUCCGCGCAAGACAAGCAACGAGAAGCGGGCUGACAUGGUACACCGCCUGCUGUUCGCCGCCGCCGCCGGCGACCUCACCGCCAUCAAGCGCUACAGCCUGAUGGAGAUGCACCUGGAGGCGGCCGACUACGACGGACGGACGGCGCUCCACCUGGCGGCCGCCGAGGGACAUGUUCACAUCGUCAGAUUCCUCCUGCAAAAAUGCAGUGUUCUGGUCGACGCCAAGGACCGCUGGGGCAGCGCUCCGGUCGACGAUGCUCAACUUGCUGGUCAUGAAGAUAUCACCAAGCUGCUGCUGAAGCACUACGUAGAGAGCGGCAUCACCAUCCCCGACUCGUUCCAGCCCGGCGAGGUGAAGCUCAACAACCUUAACAGCAAGAUGAAAGACACCGUCAUCACCGAGAAGCCCAAGAAGCAGGGCACGAAGGAGCGUAACUCGAGCGACGAGAACGCGCCGGUCGUGAAGUAGGUGACGACGGCGGUGGGGAGGUCGGUGAAGUAGGUGACGACGGCAGUGGGGAGGUCGGUGAAGUAGGUGACGACGGCAGUGGGGAGGUCGGUGAAGAAUGAGCAGGCGAAGAUGAAAAGACCACUAAAGUUGCGGGACGCGAUGCCGAAGAUAUGGCCACAGUUGUGGGAGAUGAUGUCGAAGAGCGCGAUGAAUUAGUGGGGAUAGAGCUCGUCUUGAUAGUGGAGCACGGAUCUUGUGGAGCCUUGCCAGAACCCUGCGUGCUCUGUUGGAAGUAUGGCAACGCCUCACCAUUGGAUGCACCGCUUGCCUUUGAUGACUCUAGGAGAUAUCCACACAACUGUCGGCGAUGCUGUUCACAGGACGCCGAAGGUGUCAUUGUCUGGUGAAUACUUUACAGCGUUUAGACGGCUGCUCCCGGUGGUGGUGGGACAAUAUGGCGGAAACGGCAGACGCAGGUAGCGUCGUUAGGAACACCAGCGGAUACAUGAUGUAGCUGUGCAUGAUACGGAGCUCUGAGGUCACUGAAGGUGCGAGAUGCGUUGAGAGACGUCACGUCAAACGUCAACCAUUGGAAACGUCACGGCUCAACUCCGAUGAACAGGUUCGACGAACAGAAUGAACAGGGCGAAAGAAGACCAUUCAUGCUUAAGAGUGCAUUCCUGACAAAUGAUUCACACCGGCAGAGAAUGCACCAACUUCAGUGGUCGAGUAAUGCACAGGCAUAGUAAAUGAUAGAAUUAUGUGUGUGAUGAAUGCACUUUCAUUUCGAGAGAUAAUUUUAGAAACAGGAUGGCUAACGAAGCCUAUUGCUCAGGGAAACUGUUAACCUAUGGGAGAUAGGUUCUUGGAGACAGCGGUUUUGCAGAAGACUGUCGCGAUAAAUGUGUUACAAGCCAUGAAUGGCAUGCAAUCAUGCACCGAUAGGUGUGAUGUUACCCGGCUUAAUUGCUUUUUCCAGUCGCAUCCGUCCAUAAAAAUUCAGUAACCUGUCCUUAAAUGGGACUGCCUGAAAAAGGAAGCACUUGCAGAAUGUUACAAUCGAUUCGUCAAGCGAGACAACCUUUGCUUCACUACCCAGAGAGAGUGUUCUAAGCAGCCUAUCAUCUUUUGCCUCUGAUUGAGCUACUACCACAUGCACCAAUAUGUGUGAUGUUACGAGGCCUAAUUGCUUUUUCCAGUCGUACCCGUCUCUAAAAAUCCAGUACCUUGUCCUUAAAUGGAAGUGUCUGAAAAAGGAGGCAUUUUCAGAAUGUUACAGUGGAUUCGUCCAGCGAGAUAACCUUUGCUUGACACCAGGAGAGAGUGUUCUAAACAGCCUAUCAUCCUUUGCCUCUGAUUGAGCUAUUACCACUUGUUUUUAAGGAAUAUAACUCUAUCUGAGGAAUUCAGCAGUACCCAGUUUUGUUAUAUCUGGCUAAAGAGGGGCUUUCGAAGUCAGGUGGGCGCUUAUACUUGGGAUCAGAAGGUUGAGGCAGCUAGGGCGACGUGUAGCUUAUGAAAGCAAGCGUUGAAAUGGAAAUCGAUCUCCUAGACUAGAAUAACGUCUACGACGCCUACCGCCUAAGCCCCGCCGUGAGAUGAUUGAAAUAUUUUCAGUAUGGUUAUUCAAAUACACAUUUUCAGUGAGUCUUCAUACUGCUUACGAUAUACACAUACACACACCAUCGGCGCAACGGGGAGUCUUCGUUAGCAGUUUUGUGACACGUACACUGCAUGAUACGAAGUCAUCAAAUUGAGUUCUGGAAAAAAGUGUAAGCUUUGUUGAUGUUACACGAAUCACGCACUGCGCGUUUUGGAUAGGGAUUAUUUUAGGGCUCAAGUGUCGGGCCGUUGCUACAUGACUGUACAUCAGUCUGCGUGCACACCUCACAGUUCACAAAGUGCAGACCCUGCCGGAGCACGCCACCUUUAUCGAAAUAAAAGAAAACGCGCUUUGACAGUGUUCCUGACCCGCACUGGAGCACCGGCUAGUCAGCGGUCAAGUGCUGUGUGAGCACACAGUUACCAUUAUUCGUUACACACUGGAAGCUUAGGCGCUCUGGGCUGCGUUGUGUUCUAACUGAAGGAACACAGUUACCCCUGCAUAAUACAAACCAAACGUCAAUACAGACAUGUUUCAAAACAUUUUCGGGUAUAAGAAAGGUGUACCUAACUUUGUCAUAAAUAGCGGCAAAUUUCAAGCUCGUCAUACAUAGAUAAGCAAACGUCAGGAUAGAAAAAUGUGGAGGCUCGCAUACGCUCCGUAUUCAGGCUUACAAUUUUGCUGUCCCAGAUGCUGAUAUAAUGCUAUGCCCACCACAAGGACGUUACCAAGCAUCAUCUCAGGACUGGAGAGAGCAAAAUUAAAUCUGAGAUGGCAGCCUGAUCUGAAAAUGACAUCAUAAAUCGCAAAAUAUAAAAAGAUGUCUUCUACGGAAAAAUACAAGUGUUGCUUAGCAAGGAUGAGACAGCGAUGUAGAAGAAAAUGAGUUUUCCUAUUCGUGCCGUACGAUCUACGCCUCUCGCACUGGACCGUCUGCAUCUCCAGAACUUCAAAUAAGACAAAGCCGUUGCGUCGAAAUUUGUGGGGUUUAUUUGCAAGCAGUGUAUACAUUACCACACUUUGCCACGCAAGUCGCGGCCUGCGAUACCGGCUGCGCCUCCGAGGGCAUUUACGAAUAGGAAGAUUCGCAUUGCAUUGCUAUGUUAACACUGUUCGCAUCGGCCACUUGGGCACAGGGUUGGCUUGGCCGCAGUUAACGACCGCCUAGCAAAAAAGACGUUAAAACGCAGACGGGGCAGAUGCAGCAAUGCUCAUAUAUAUACACAUUUCGUACCUACUUGAACUGUUGGAGUAGGUUUGCGAUGAAACCUGUACACACCAUCCACUCGUUCAUUUUCCGAUUCCUUCACGAUAUUGACCCGCAUGAAAAGCAGACGACCACGCGUAUCUCCAAACUCGAGUAUCGGCGGUAGAAGAUAACUGAGAUGUCACGUGCCGCAGUGCAAUGCGGUUCUUGCUGACGUCACUUCAAGUCUUGUCCCCUAAGCCUGGAAUCAGACGCUGAAAGUUUGAGAGGGCGCAGUAUCUACAACCUUGGUUAGGAAGCCAACUUUGUUGAUAGAUGCGACGGUAGACUGAGCGGUGCCGCUGCUGGCCUGGUCCCACAUGGCUUCAUGGCUCUGGCCGGAUAUGACGUGGCAAGCUGGGUCUCACGUCACGGAGCUAUUUUGAUUUGAAAUUGGACCGACCGUCCAGCCCUGAGUCAGUCCCGCUUCCAAACUCAACGAUGUAGUCAUUUUUGGGAUCGAAGGUCACGUCGUCGUCCUGCUUGCAAGUAACGUCACCGUUCGGCCCGUGUGUGACGCCAUCGUCCAAGUCGUGUGUCAUGUCAGUGCCCUGCUCGGGAGCCGGAACCAUUUCAUCUUGGUACCCGACGUUGUCGCCGAUCUCAAAAGCACCAUCGCCGUUCAGCUCCAAAAUACGGUCAUGGGAUGGCUCGCUAGCGACAGGAUCCCCUUCGCCGGUGACGUCACCACUCUCCUCGGGUAUGACGUCACGGUCGCGUGCCGCCCCCGAGGCGUGGGCCGCCGUGCC